UCGGCUAGCUGGAGUUCGAGCCUGCGCUCAGUCAGUCGUAGGAAGGGAGAGCUCGCUUGAUGGUGAGCGGGGGAGGGGUGAGUAACACGUAGGCAACCUGCCUGCAAGACCGGGAUAACCCACGGAAACGUGAGCUAAUACCGGAUAUCUCAUUUCCUCUCCUGAGGGAAUGAUGAAAGACGGAGCAAUCUGUCACUUGCGGAUGGGCCUGCGGCGCAUUAGCUAGUUGGUGAGGUAACGGCUCACCAAGGCGACGAUGCGUAGCCGACCUGAGAGGGUGAACGGCCACACUGGGACUGAGACACGGCCCAGACUCCUACGGGAGGCAGCAGUAGGGAAUCUUCCGCAAUGGGCGAAAGCCUGACGGAGCAACGCCGCGUGAGUGAUGAAGGUUUUCGGAUCGUAAAGCUCUGUUGCCAGGGAAGAACGUCCGGUAGAGUAACUGCUAUCGGAGUGACGGUACCUGAGAAGAAAGCCCCGGCUAACUACGUGCCAGCAGCCGCGGUAAUACGUAGGGGGCAAGCGUUGUCCGGAAUUAUUGGGCGUAAAGCGCGCGCAGGCGGUCAUUUAAGUCUGGUGUUUAAGGCCAAGGCUCAACCUUGGUUCGCACUGGAAACUGGGUGACUUGAGUGCAGAAGAGGAGAGUGGAAUUCCACGUGUAGCGGUGAAAUGCGUAGAUAUGUGGAGGAACACCAGUGGCGAAGGCGACUCUCUGGGCUGUAACUGACGCUGAGGCGCGAAAGCGUGGGGAGCAAACAGAUUAGAUACCUGGUAGUCCACGCCGUAACGAUGAAUGCUAGGUGUUAGGGGUUCGAAUACCCUGAUGCGAGUUAACACAUUAAGCAUUCGCCUUGGGGAGAUACGGUCCGCAGAAACUGGAAUCUCCA
rnacentral:rRNA from 1 species